AGGAGAAAACACAGCAGUUAACAAAGCCUCAGCACAGUGAUGGGGAAUUACUUCGUUGAAAAAAGGAUUAUUGGAAUACAAAGCCAAUAGAGGGUAUCACCAUCCUUGCAUGCUGUCUCUCUUUCAUACACACACACACACACACGUACACACACACAUUUCACCCCAUUCAUCAGUUCCAGCUCUCACAUAAACACAGCCUAUGGAAGCUAGGCUGUGCACACCUUAUGGAACCUAAUGGAUGUCCAGAGCCCUCUCACAGGGAAAAAGCUGUUCAAAUGGCUAUGGGCAAGGCCACUUGAGAAAGAAACAGCAGGCUGAUGACAGAGACCUCCCUAAUUCACUGAACUCAGACAAAGACGUCCCUAAUUCACUGAACUAUAAAAAGGAGAAGGAGGUAGAGAACAACAAUUAGACUGGCAAGAUUUUAUUAUUAUAGUC